UGGGGAAUUUUGGACAAUGGGCGAAAGCCUGAUCCAGCAAUGCCGCGUGUGUGAAGAAGGCCUUCGGGUUGUAAAGCACUUUUGUCCGGAAAGAAAUCCUUGGCUCUAAUACAGUCGGGGGAUGACGGUACCGGAAGAAUAAGCACCGGCUAACUACGUGCCAGCAGCCGCGGUAAUACGUAGGGUGCAAGCGUUAAUCGGAAUUACUGGGCGUAAAGCGUGCGCAGGCGGUUUGCUAAGACCGAUGUGAAAUCCCCGGGCUCAACCUGGGAACUGCAUUGGUGACUGGCAGGCUAGAGUAUGGCAGAGGGGGGUAGAAUUCCACGUGUAGCAGUGAAAUGCGUAGAGAUGUGGAGGAAUACCGAUGGCGAAGGCAGCCCCCUGGGCCAAAUACUGACGCUCAUGCACGAAAGCGUGGGGAGCAAACAGGAUUAGAUACCCUGGUAGUCCACGCCCUAAAACGAUGUCAACUAGUUGUUGGGGAUUCAUUCCUUAGUAACGUAGCUAACGCGUGAAGUUGACCGCCUGGGGAGUACGGUCGC
rnacentral:rRNA from 1 species